rnacentral:rRNA from 1 species
UCAGACGAUGCGUCAUGCAUAUCAAUAAGCGGAGGAAAAGAAACUAACAAGGAUUCCCUUAGUAACGGCGAGUGAAGCGGGAAGAGCUCAAAUUUGAAAUCUUCAAGGUUUUACCUCGACGAAUUGUAGUUUAAAGAAGUGUUUUCUGCUGAAGUUUUGGUAAAAGUUCUUUGGAAUAGGACAUCAUAGAGGGUGAGAAUCCCGUAUUUGACCAUUAUUUUCAGCUUUGUGAUACACUUUCAAAGAGUCGGAUUGUUUGGGAAUGCAGUCCAAAAUGGGUGGUAAAUUUCAUCUAAAGCUAAAUAUUGGCGAGAGACCGAUAGCGAACAAGUACCGUGAGGGAAAGAUGAAAAGAACUUUGAAAAGAGAGUUAAACAGUACGUGAAAUUGUCAAAAGGGAAGCGUUUGACACCAGUGUUGUUUUCUCGAAAAUCAAUUAAAAAUGGCUCGAUUUUGUAUUGUUUGAGACCUUAAAAGCUCACUGUACAUUUUUCGUGUCUUUUUUAAUGCACUUUUCGUUUAACAAGUCAACAUCAGUUUCUUUUGUUGUAAAAGGGUCAUUGGAAGGUGGCUUUCUUUUCGGAGAAAGUGUUUAUAGCCUUUGGCCUCUGCAAUCGGAGAGACUGAGGUCUGCAGCGUAGAUCCUUCGGGGCUAAAUGCAUUUGUGCUAAGUUAUAGCAUUUUAUAGACAACUUGUUGACUAUGAUUUGUCUUGUAGCUUACUCGCUUAUGUUAUUUUACCUACGCUUAGGAUGUUGACUGAUAUGUAGUCGU